rnacentral:rRNA from 1 species
GACGAACGCUGGCGGCGUGCUUAACACAUGCAAGUCGAACGGAAAGGCCCUGCUUGCAGGGUGCUCGAGUGGCGAACGGGUGAGUAACACGUGGGUGAUCUGCCCCUUACUUUGGGAUAAGCCUGGGAAACUGGGUCUAAUACUGGAUAGGACCAUGCUGUAGGUGGUGUGGUGGAAAGAUUAGUUUCGGUAAGGGAUGAGCUCGCGGCCUAUCAGCUUGUUGGUGGGGUAAUGGCCUACCAAGGCGUCGACGGGUAGCCGGCCUGAGAGGGUGGACGGCCACAUUGGGACUGAGAUACGGCCCAGACUACUACGGGAGGCAGCAGUGGGGAAUAGUGCACAAUGGGCGCAAGCCUGAUGCAGCGACGCCGCGUGGGGGAUGACGGCCUUCGGGUUGUAAACUCCUUUCAGCCAUGACGAAGCCCUUGUGGUGACGGUAGUGGUAGAAGAAGCACCGGCUAACUACGUG